GGUGUUGGGGCGUUCUGCGGCGGCCUCGCGGCCGGCGCAGCCCCCGAAAGCCAGUGGCGGGCCGGCGGCGGCUCCGAGCGCAGUAAGCACCAGUGCCCUCGCUCCGGACGACCACCGCCUGCGCCCUGCCCAGAACGCGGACGCGAGUCUCGCACCUCACAAGG
rnacentral:misc_RNA from 1 species